ensembl:misc_RNA 7SK 7SK RNA
AGAUGUGAGGGAGAUCUGACUGUGACAUCUGUCACCCCAUUGAUCACCAGGGUUGAUUUGGCUGAUCUGGCUGGCUAAGUGGGUGUCCCCUUUCUCCCUCACCACUCCAUGUGCAUCCCUCCUGAAGCUGCACUCUUGGUCCAAGAGGACAACCACCCCCCGAUAGAGGAGGACUGUUUCCUCGGUCUCCUGCUAGAACCUCCAAACAAGCUCUCAAGAAGCAAAAUCCAACAAUAAAUUGUAUACUAGAAACACACCUAGU